CCUACGGGCGGCAGCAGUGAGGAAUAUUGGUCAAUGGGCGAGAGCCUGAACCAGCCAAGUCGCGUGAGGGAGUACUGCCCUAUGGGUUGUAAACCUCUUUUGUCGGGGAGCAAAAGCCGGACGUGUCCGGCUGUGAGAGUACCCGAAGAAAAAGCAUCGGCUAACUCCGUGCCAGCAGCCGCGGUAAUACGGAGGAUGCGAGCGUUAUCCGGAUUUAUUGGGUUUAAAGGGUGCGCAGGCGGAUUUUUAAGUCAGUGGUAAAAUCGUGGGGCUCAACCCCAUCCAGCCGUUGAAACUGGGGAUCUAGAGUGUGCGAGAGGUAUGCGGAAUGCGUGGUGUAGCGGUGAAAUGCAUAGAUAUCACGCAGAACCCCGAUUGCGAAGGCAGCAUACCGGUGCACAACUGACGCUCAGGCACGAAAGCGUGGGUAUCGAACAGGAUUAGAUACCCCAGUAGUC
rnacentral:rRNA from 1 species